UUGUCGGUCGAGCGGAACGCUGUCGUCGUCGUCACUCAGCCAGCAACCGCUAUGGAAAACAGGCAAUAACAAACCUGCGCUGGAAUUAUUGUCUGUUUUUUAUUGCAUUGGGUAAAGGCUGUACAAAGCUGUAUCCAACUACCGGGACGACUUGGGAUUGUCAUGGGAAGAAUAUUUAGAGGCCGAUUCAUUUCGGGUAGAACAGGGCGAGAUCAACAUUUGACAAAUGUAUUACAUCGUAAAACGUUAAAUGUUGGACCAUUUUAACUCGUGCGAAAAAAAUUUUUGGAAAUCGAUUGAUAAUAACUAGAAAUCAUUAAUAGACGCACUAAAUAUUUCCUUUUAUAUUGAGCAAGUAUAUCUCGUCUACCACUAAUCGCCACUUAGCUGCUUAUCACUUUCAGCCCGCUUGGCUGCCCAUUCCACAAUAGUACUCGUACUUACAUCGCGGCAGCAACCAGCAAAGCAGUUAAUUAUGCAAAUUAACUCACAACUUCAUGACAUCAUGGCGAGUAACAAUGGGCAACAACCUACGACAACAAAACAGCAGGCCAUACAGCACGGGUUAUUACAGAAACCAGCACAAAAAUCCAAUGAUGACGUUCGCUGUGAUGAUGAUGAUAAUGUCGGCGAUGACUGACUUGAAUCAGGCGAUGGGAUACAGGGACUGCGGUACCUAAGGGGGCAGAUACGCCACUUGAUUGUGAAAUUGAAAGUAUCACACAAUUUAAGGGGCGGGCGACCCCGGCAUAUGUUUUUGUAAACAGAAAAACUUUACAAUUUAACGCCAGAUCAAGUCGUGUGAGGCUGUUUAGACAUCCAAUUCUCACCCGUUCGGACCAAUUAUAGUUAAUGCUUGGGGGAACAGGGGUAGCUAAUUGAAAUGAGUUAUAAUGACCCCACACGAUUGUAAAUCGUGCUAGGCCUGGCACCUAGAAAUACGUUUUGUCAAAUGGGACAGCCUGAAGCGCAAGGAAUUUAAUACAUAGUGUCUAGAAGGAUAGUACAUUCAAAGGAUGACAUUGUCUUAAUAAUUGAGUUCUUAUGACACUUCAACACAGUCAAGUGUCCUUAGUCACGAUAGCUUCUUCCCACUUUGAAAGCAGGGGGUCAGAAGUGCUCCCAAUUCCAGGUGAUUAGAUCACUGAAGUGGGCCAGACUGCUUACAUGUGUCCCUGUCCUUAUCUCUGAAGGAGCUGUUGGCCGGGAGUCUGUGUGUUUGUGCAGAAAAACUUGCCAGAGCGCAAGUACGCGCCGUCUUAUCGGGCCGAAUAUAUAGGAAGAGAGUAAUUUGAAUAUACUGGUGGCUUACGGUGGAAAAAACGCCAACCUUGUCCGCUUGACAAGUGAGCGGAGCGGGAACUCAAACUGAGCGCAACCGGUCGAGCUCAAGGCGCUUACAUGUAAGUCCAAGCCGACUUCAGUCGAGUCGAAUCAAGUGCAGGUUCCGCUGGAUCAGAGUGGACUGGAGUUCACUCUUCACGGCCGGGCACGUACACAAGUCACGGGUCUAGGUCUAGGUCUCGGUUUCGGCUUCGAUUUCGGUUUCGGUCUGGAUCGGGGCUGGGGCUUAUGAUUGGGUCUAGGUCUAGGUCUCCAGUGAGCCGCGAAGGUGGGAUCCACUCCGCAAUUUAUGGCUCACAUUAAUAACCCAUUGGGGAUUCUAUUAUUCAUUUGGUUGUCGCCUGAUCAAUUGUGCAAUGCUCGCAUAAAUAAAUAAACACAAACCUGCAGCCAAAGUCCGAAUUCAAAGUCUUACUGUGUCAAUGUCAUGGCUAGUCAAGCGAAAAAACUGGUUGCCGGUAGCGGAUCCCUAAUAAAUUUAAAUAAAUAGAAAAUUAAGGGACUUACAAGAAAUUAAAAACUAGUUGUUUGCUCCAUAAAAUAUAUACCUUUUUCUUUAGCCUUUCGGAACCCCCAUUUGACCACUUUAGCCUACUUUUUAGAAUUUUGGAGAAUACCUUUAAAAUUUUUUGGCAUUUUCAAACAUAUGAAAUGGGAUUUUUUCAAUACUUGUUCUUGUAGGAAUAAAAUUAUCAAAGUAGCCAAAAUUUUACUUCAAAAUUUGGAAAAUUAAAAAAGGUUUUCCCAAAGUAUACAUUUUUCUAAAUUUUUAACAGUGGGCAAAGGUGCAGAAAUUGUAAAUUAAAUUUUUAUCGACCCAUAAGAUAGAAUACUUGAUCUCUAGAUAACUAUAUGUUGAUAUCGAAAGCAUGGAAAUCGAUGCACUUCAACAAAUUUUCAAUGCUUUUUCUUAUUAUUGUCUUAUUCAGUUUUUCUGCAAAGUGCAAUCUGUGUGAAACGAAACUUUCCAUGCAAAACGCAGAAGAACGGAAAACUACAGCACGUGAUAAGCGGGAGCUGCGCCUGAUAAGGCGGCAAACCUCCUCGCACGAGAGCAUAGACCUAAAAAUACCCCGAUGGGGUAUCGGAUUGGUUCUGGUUCAGACAAGAGCCCAUAAAGCACACGAUGACGAGGCCAACUGUCACAUGGCAGAGGCUGCAGCUGCAAUUUGCAGUGCAUGGCGAGGUCCAGUGAAAACGUUGAUAAACUUUGAUGUGCACAAGUGUGAAAAUUUUCCAUAGUCUAUGCUAGAACGCAAUGGUAAAUAAAAUCAGCUCUGAGAAUAGAUUAUAGCAUCACAGGAAGUUUGAGGGAGCAAAGUGUGGGAAACACUUUUGGCUUAAAGCGAAACUUUGGACGGUUAAACUGUUCACCAAUUUUGAUUUAUGGCCCACUUGAUGUUACUAAUCUUGAGGAUUUGGCUUUACGAUUGGGAAAUCAUAGGAAUAAUAACAGCGAUAAAACGAAAUUGAUGAUAUGCCCACCCUAGAUUUUGCUUUCAAGUGCAAGUCUGAAAUAUAAUUUAUUUAUAGGUGCAAUAGGACUAUCUCUAUCCGUAGGCUUUUCCCAGGGACGAUCGUUGAACUACACUUACAAGAUUUUUUACGAACGCAACCGAUUUCAGGAAUAUUGAGUAUAUACACUGUGUAAGCUCCAAGAACAAUAACCUUGUUGGCAAUGCAUUUCCAUUGGGCUGCGAGGACGUAAAACUGCACUUUCGAUUUCGAUAGAUACCGACCGGCAGCAAAUGUAUCUCGUAGAUACACACGUUGGUUGUGCAGACACGUUAUGGGGCCAAACGAAAUGAAAUGCGAAAAGGUAGAAGAGGCAACAUACAACCGAACAGAAACUGAAACAGAAUCGAAACAAGAGCCACACGAUAUAAAUAAACCACUCAGACGUCGCAACAAUGGUCACUGUGAGAAACAAAUGUAUCUACACACGACGCGAUGUAUCCGCCACAUCGCGUGUGCAUGGCAUGUAAACGAUAUGUCUGCCGUUGUGUUCGGCAAUUUGCUACAGUAAAGCCGAUGUGCAGUAAAGUAGAUGAAAGGGAAAACGAGCAGAAAUUACAGUUUUAAAAAAUGUAUCGGAAAUGCACAAGGCUUGAAACUAAGCAGGAUUUCAUUUCUUUUAAGUGAUGAUGAUCUGCGAAGGCUUUAGAACUCUGCCCUUCUAUUCUAUUAGCAAGCCGGUCACCAAAUAAUCGUACUAAGUUCAUAAACUUAUACGUCAAGAAAAUUCCAAGCCAUUUGUCAAGCGCCCUUCAUCACUAGUGCAUGGGGUGUAGGCUGUCGCGAGCUCGAGUCAAUAAAUCACAAGCUGAAAUAAUUAAUUCCUGUUACUGUUGUCUUUUUCGAAACGAAAACGAAACUGGUCGCCGGGAGUCGUUGAACUGACGAGUGGUGACACAUGUAUCUACGUGUGCGGCAAAGAUACAAAUGUAUCUGCGUGUGCCACCGUUUCAGCAAGCAUUGUCACUAGCGAAAGUGUCAAGUGGUCAACGUUUCUGCAAGAUAUUACUGCGUAUACGUUCUGUUCACCCAAUAUCUCGGAUUUUCUUUUCUGAAUAGCCCGUUUUUUUUUAAGCCCAGUUUCACAUGACAAGACGGCUGCGGCUUUAUUAAUAGACUCUGCUCGCAUUGCUCAUACGUGUUUGCUCACUGGCGAAUUCCUGCCUGUCCAUUGGAUCAUUAACAAACCAGUUUACACCUGGCCGACUUGCACACCUAAUGCAGAUUGUUGGGUGGGGUCGAUCUACAUCAAUAUGACGGUAUUGCAGGCGAGGGCGUGUUCAGCGGCUCUGUGUUGCUAUCAAUGAGUGCUGGAUAAUGUAUUAGUAUACCUUCCCAUGUACCUUCCCACAUACAUUUCCAUAUACCGUUGCAUAUACCAUCCCAUAAUAACUUCUUGUUUGUUUUUUCUUUAGUCUUUUAAAGACACUCCUUUAAAAGACAGUUCGUUGUGCAAGUAGCGCUCUUGUGCACGAUAUAUUAUUUUAUACUGACUAUUAUUAUGUAAAAUGUAUGUACAUGUUAUGUAAAAUAAUAUUAGAAGCACAAUUUUUUCGAUCAGUAUUCAUUGCUAGAAUACAUUUGACUCAUUAAUUGAUUAACAGACUAGAUAUUUCCUCAAUGGGAGCAAGUUCCCUUUUCCGGUGCAAGUUAUUAGAUAAAUAUAUUUUUCUCCCCUAAAACUGUGGCUCAGAUAAGCGUUUCCAGAAAUACAAGUUAGGAUACCUCCGCUCCCAUCAGUAAUUCAAUAUGUACACAACAAACAUCUAAAAAAAAACAACGAAAAUACUGAUGUUUGCAAACAAAAUAGAUACCCAGUUCGAUGACAUAAGAAAAUAAUCUUUCGGAAUGUUUAGAAUAAAACCCAGCCACUUGGCUAAACAGACCACGUAUGCCAUAUAAAAUAUAAAAAUUCCAGAAAGGAUUACGUAAUCACAAACAAUGUAUACCCCGCGAUAAGCUAAAAUACUUAGACUCAUCUCGAAUUCAACGAUUUUAUACCAAAGUAGCUGAUAAUUGAGUAUUAUGUAAAGAGUAAACAACAUAUCUUCAGUUUUUUUCUAAGAUUCCAACCACACCAGUCUCCCUGCUUAGCCUGCUUAUCGUUUGACAAACAACCGAUCAAACGACCAAACGACGUUAAAAGUCCGGCUUAGAAUCAGCAAGCUAAAUAUACACAAAUAUCGGGUAAUGUAACCAGAGAGCAGACAGAUGUGGCGACAUGAAGUGACAUAAUAUAAUCCGUAACCGUGACAGCUGAGCCCAUAUUUGUGUGAACCGCAGAUGGACGGCAGACAUGGUCUGGACAUCCGAGUCCGGCUCUUGCCCGAUAUUAGUGCCUCAGCAAUCAAAGUGUUCUGACGAAUGUGGUUUGAUUUGUCUGGUGCCUCGGCUCGAUAAUUACUUGCCGCACUGGAAACAAAACAAAGUGUCUUUCCAUGGCGGAAGUAGCGCCGCCUUUGUGGGGAAACCAGUUCCACUGUCUACCCGCUCAAUCAAACCCAAUCAAUCGUCAACUUUGUUUUCCGCAAAAUGUGAACAGCUUAGAAAACAAAUUACAAGUGCUCCGAUCAAACCAAGACGGAACCGAAUCACAUGGGUGGGCCUAACGCCCCGAAUCGCCGAGCCUGGAAAGACUAUAAAAAUAUAGUCACCUGCCUGCGCUGAUCAAUAUGCAAAUCGGAAUCGGCCGGCCAUAAAAACGCAAAAAGCGUUGAUUUGAUGGGUUAUGAGUGCGGUAUAUUGAUUAAUGAUCGGCGGGGACCAGAGUCUGAAUUCUACCUAGAUAGGUGGGCGCGACGCACAGGAAGUGGAAGUGAGAUUUUGAAACUAUGUAUUUAAAACUAGAACGUUCUAAUUUAUGUAUUAAUAGCGGAUCUAAGCCGUGUGAAUAAUAAUGAACAGUAUAGUAAAUUUUUAAAUCAGUUAAGUAAAGCACAUUUCAUAAUGUAACAAUUUCCUACAAUAUUCAAAAACUUAGGUACAUUUGUUCAAUGCCCAAGCAUGUGUUUACUGGUCAAAUUCUAAGGCGUAUUAUAUUUAAUUGGUUUAUCUGUCCAAGUCUUAAAUAUAUACAUUAAGAAUUUAUUGGGCAUAUUGCCGGAAAAGUUUCUUGGCAGCAGCUUUUGACAAUUUGGCACACUUUGGGCGACCGAAUCGUAAAUGUGUAAUAAACAUUUUAUAGACACUUCUUCUUAGUACAUAAACUGGGAAUUUAUUAAAUCAUCGAUUGUAGGCAACAACUUAAAAUAUAGUAUUUGAUAUUCGAGAGUACUUUUUUGGUCUCGAAUAUCUGAAUAAGAUUUUACUGACAUCUCGAGUGUCUUUGUUUGAAUUUCGGCGCACCGACAGGUAUGUGUAUGUACCUAUAAAUAUCUAUAGAUUUAUAUUUAUUUGUUUAAUUAUGACACUGUUUUCACGCCGACUUGAGCAAACAAAUAGCAGUAAGGCUCUUUGUCCGGGCCAACGAAGUAAUGUACAGUGGGCAGGGCGAACAAAAGACCAUAAGUAAAUCACAUGAAAAGACAACACUGCAAAAAGUACCUUAUAAAAGUACGCAUAUAUUUAAUUAUUGAGCCGGCAGAUUUAAAUAUUCUGUCCUGUGACAAGCCUCCUUUAGGCAGCCAUAAUUAUGUACCAUAAUACAAAGGCCACGUGACUCAGAGACUUCCUCGUUCAACCGCGUGGAUGUGGACGUAUCAUUUAAAAUCAAUAAAAGUUAUAACCAGAUGCGGCUAUGCGUAGAUACCCAAUGGGAAUUUGCAUUUCCGUGUUGAUUUUUUUAAAUUAUUAGGUAAUUGCGCAUGCGUUUCGUUUCCAAUAUUCCUUUCUUCUCGUUGAAUUUUCCAAUUCUAUUUUCUCUUCAACGCUUCCUGACAGUUUUAAUUGAUUUGCAUAGUCAAUCGCACUUUUACAAGAGCCACCCCGCCUUUUUUUAGAUAUUACUAACUAAAUAGGUAUAGAACUUUCUAUUCGUUUGGUUUCACUAUCUAUACUGAUGUCGGGCGACAUCACGGGGACCCAAAUUUAUGCACACCUGACAUCGUGACAAAUGGCUUUGUCAAUAAAUAUUAUACGAACGCUUUGUGCUGAGUUGCGUCGAAAUAGAAGCUGAAAAGUUAAUCCGUUUAAAUUAUGCUAUCAAGUGUUGAUGAAGCUGGGAUAUGCCAUAGAUAUAGUAUUCAUUUUGCGAUGCAUUUAAUUGAAAAUGCUUUACAUUGUCUGAUCCAAACCACACGAUUUGACUUGAACGAGAUAUAUUCUUGCAUGCCCAGUUGUAUUACCUAUUUCUAUUACAUAUGUAAACUUAAGCUUAAAAUUUAUUCUAAUUAUACUUUGUUUUUGCCUACUCUUUUUUAUCGAUUUUUGAGCUAUUUAUAAAAAAACAUAAACUAGCGCACAAGUAAGACAAACCAAAGACAUCGAUUAUUCUUCACCAUUUUUCUCGUCGGAAAACCAAAGCAUCUGGCGCUGUUGCCUUUCAGUCUGCGGGAUUUUCAGCACUGGUUCGGAUCUGCAUAGAUUUGCAUUCAUAGUUGGGACUUUGGAAAUUUCUCUUAGUAUGUGGAUUCCAAUAAUUUUAAUUAUUUAUUUAAGUUUUGGGCUACUUGUCUGCUAGUAUACGAAAUUUCACACCUCCCUCUUUACGUUUUGUAAUAGAACUCAUCAAAUAGAAAAUGGCGGUUUUGAAAAUUGCAGCCGCAAUUAAAUGGUUAAAUUCUAGAAUAAUAUACAUAGGUAUAGGCUGUACCAUCAACGCUGAUUACAGUCCCAAAAUGUUUCGUUGGUUUUCUAGGUUUCCUUUCCUUUCCAAUUAUUUGCGAGUAUGGCAACUUUUUGCUGAUCGAGGCGAGGAGGCUUUUAGGAGGGGAGCUGAUCGAGCUUUUAGGAGGGGAGCAACAGUUCUUUGGAUGUACAAGCAUAUAUACAUUAAUGAGUGUGUGUGCGAUCGUUACUUUUUAUGCCAUCGCCUGUUAAUUCUCCACUCAAAUGGCAUGGAAGGGCCGUGUAGACAAAUUCAGAAAACCCGAGGAAAAAAAAUUCAGAGAAACUUGUUGUUGUCAUAAGCACUAAAUGCUGCUUCUUCCUCUGUCUAUUGUAAUUGUUGUUGUUUUACUGUGCUGAUGACCUUAAAUUAGGCGUAGGUCUUCGCUUCUUGUGUUCGCCUUAUUCGUCAUUGUUGGCCAAGUUUUUUCGUUUGUUUCUUUUGACGUGGUCAACUGCUUUUUAUAUGUUUUUUCAACUGCUGCAGUCGUUGAUAUAAGCGAUA